GGCAGGGAGAGCAUUGACAACCCCACAUAAAGGGUAGAAUAUCGGAGUGGGUAGAGAAGGAAGAGCCAGGGCAUUAUGGAGGUGACCCCCUCCUAGACAGGGACUCUGGGAGUGGGAGCCAUGCCCACAUGUAAAGCCACACAGUUGGGUCCUUUGCUUUCUUGUCCUCCUUCAGGCUGUUUUAGACACUCUGAGGUCUACAUUGCUCACCUCAGAGCCAGAUAUACUUUCUAGCCCUUAAGAUGGAUACUAGGGUGUUUGCUCACCAAGUGGCUAGAUAACUUUCUAGCCCUUAAGGUGGAUACUAGUGGUAUGCAGUAUCUGUUACUUUGUCUCAUUGCUGAGUCAGAAUACCCCUGACAAAAGCAACUUAAGAAAGGAAGAUGCUAUGGGGUGUGUGUGUUAGUUUAUUGAUGUGGGGAAACUGUGGUGCCAGGUGCGGCAGCUGCUACGAUGUAUCCAUAGUCAGGAAGGCAGCUGCUACAAUGUAUCCAUAGUCAGGAAGCAGAGAAGGACAUGAACGCUGGUGCUCAACUCACUGACUCCCUGUAUUCAGAGACCUCCCAGCCUAUGGGUUGGUAGAUCUUCCGAACUCAGUUCACCUAAUCUAUAUAACCUCAGAUAGACAGGACCGGUGGCUGGUCUCUUCAGUGUUUCUAGUACAGUGGUUCCCAACCUGUGGGUCCCAAUGUCUUUGGGAUAGGGGUAUUGAACAACCCUCUCAUAGGGGUAGCCUAAGGCCAUCGGAAAACAGAUGUUUACAUUACAAUUCACAACAGUAGCAAAAUUACAAUUAUGAAGUAGCCAUAAAAAUAAUUUUAUGAUGGGGGGGCAUCACCACAACACGAGGAACUGUCUUAAAGAGUCCCAGCAUUAGGUAGGUUGAGAAUCACUGACAUGGAGCCUAUUAAGUUGACAUUGAACUUAGCCAUCACACAUGGCUUUUGAUGCCUUCCUUGGUGGCGUGGGUGGCGGCACCAAGAUGACAGCAAGGAUAGAUAUAUGUCUCUCAUGAAUCCCUGAGUAGUCUAGGGUCUUCCUCAGGUCACGACCUCCUUGUCACUGGGGAAAUUUUUGCCCUGUCCUCUUGACCCACAUAUGCCAGGUAUACCAUCUGAUCCUCUCCAUAAUCCAAGUGUCUCUCAUCCAGCCCUUUGUGCUUUGUCUUAGUCAGGGUUUCUAUUCCUUCACAAACAUCAGGACCAAGAAGCAAGUUGGGGAGGAAAGGGUUUAUUCAGCUUACACUUCCACAUUGCUGUUCAUCACCAAAGGAAGUCAGGACUGGAAAUCCAGCAGGUCAGGAAGCAGGAGCUGAUGCAGAGGCCAUGGAGGGAUGUUUCUUACUGGCUUGCUUCCCCUGGCUUGCUCAGCUUGCUUUCUUAUAGAACCCAAGACAAUGGGCUGGGUCCUCCAAUCCUUGGUCACUAGUUGAGAAAAUGCCUUACAGCUGGGUAUCAUGGAGGCAUUUUCUCAACUGAGGCUCAUUUCUCUGUGAUAACAAGAUCAAGUUGACACACAAAAUCAGCCAGUACAAUUGACUCCUUGUCGACUUGACACACAAACACAUCACUAUUAAGCUUCAACCCUUACUAUCUUAUUCAUCCCCAAGAUCUAAAUAACUUUAAGAGUCCCACAGUCCUUACAUAUUAAAAAAUGAAUCCUUUAAAAUAUCCAAAAAUCUUAAAAUUCAAAGUCCUUAUGGACUCCACUAAAAUAUUUUCUUCCUUCAAGAGGGAAAAAUAUCAGGGCACAGUCACAAUCAAAAGCAAAGUUAAACUCCAACAGUCCAAUGUGUGGGAUCCACUCACGAUCUUCUAGGAAGGGCUUGGGUCACUUCUCCAGCUCUGCCCUUUGUAGCACACAUCUUGUCUUUUAGGCUCCAGAUGCCUGUUCUCCACUGCUGCUGCUGCUCUAGGUGGUCAUCUCAUGGUACUGGCGUCUCCAAAACGCUGCUGUCUUCUGCUGCAACUAAGCUUCAUCAAUAGCCCCUUGCAGGCUUUAUUCGGCUUACACUUCCACAUUGCUGUUCUCACCAAAGGAAGUCAGGACUGGAACUCAAGCAGGUGGGGAAGCAGGAGCUGAUGCAGCAGCUGGGCCGGAGAGAUGGCUCAGCACUAAUCACACAGGUCUGAAAACCCGACUUCAGUCUCCAGAAACCGAGUCGAAAGCCAAAUGAAUCCGCUCACAUCUAUAAUCCCGGCACUCCAGCAAGACGAGAGAUACAGAACUGCCUGAAGUACCUAGGACAGAGAAGAAACAAGAGAACUCCUGACCCAAUAGGGGGAAGGCAAGAGCUAAGACCCUAAGGUUGUGUGGCCGCUACAUGCUGUUCACAUGCUGUGGCAUGUGCUUGGAACACACCAAGCAACAUUUCACACAAGUUAUUUUUAUAUGCUUUCGCAAAAGAAAUAAAUUUAAAAGUGAAGGCCAGCUUGGAUUGGAGACCACAGUGUACAACAUGCCUUCCUCUUGGUCUUGGCUUCUCCCAGAGACCUUCCGAAAGGUAGCUCGCCUCUUGCUUUCCUCAUAGAGACGCUCUGGGCACAUAUAGAGCUAUAUCCUGACAGGAUUGUUUUUCCUAACUUUAUGGCCCCCGCCAGCAGGUUUUUUAAACAAUUCAGCACAUUUGCAUGAAUCUUCUCUGGAGCUGGUGGCUCUAGAUUCAGAUCUUAGCUGACUUUGGAGGGUUUGAAUGACCUUGGUCAGGAUCCACGACUUCCCCAGGGCUCCAACCCUCAGCUUUCUUAUGCAGAGAAGAAGGUAAUAACAGCAAAUACCGAAACUGGAGCCUGGACCCCCAGGCCCCUAAGUAAAAGGCCUAGCUGUGGCUGCUAGGCAUCUAGAGACAAGACGAUCCCUAGAGCUUGCCUGCCAAUCAGCAUGUAGAGUCAAACCAGUGAGCUCCAGGUUCAGUGAGAGACUCUGUCUCAAGAAACAGGUGAGCAAUAAAGCAUCCACAUUCAAGCAUGCAUGCACACACACGGGGGCAUGAGCUCAUCCAAGAAGUAACUGCCACACUGUGCCUCCUCAGAGACGAUAAUUACAAAGAGACAGUAGGGCACAGCGGAGAGCAGGAACUCGAGGACUAUGGGAAAGGCUAUUGCAGCAUCUGCAGAUAGCACUGCUGCAGGCCAACCCCUGCCAGCUUAGCCCUGAGGAAACUGCUGGAGCUGCCCCCACCGGCAGUGAGGCCUGGGUGACACCAGCAACCCUUGGUUAGGAGCUUGGAAUCGACAGCCCAAUAUAAUGCCUUCUAGGACUUUCAAGCUCUGGGAAGUUGGGCAUGGCCACAUAUCCCAGAUGCUGACAGGGGAAAGUGCAGGUAGUUGGGACAAUGUGGCAGACACUUACUUUUCAGGGUAACUUAUUGUUUGUUGGGAAGGCCAAUAUCAGCAAGGCUGCUACCAGGUCUGAUUCUUCUGCCAGAUGGGAACUAGGGUUCCCUGGGGCACGCACCUCUAAAACAGAUUUUGGGGAGUUACCUUUUCAGUCCUAAAACUAGCUAGAGAAAAGAUUUCAUGGAGUUCAGGAAAAAGAAAAAAAGAGUUGAGGGAGAGUUGGGUUGGACAUGAGUUUACGUCCCAUCUCAGUGACUCUGGUUAUGUGUGAUUUCCCACGCAUAAAACAGGACUGAAAAGAAGCCAUAUGUCCCUUGGGACACCAGCCCAGGAAGAUGAGUGGUGGCCCCUGACUGCAAUCCCAGCACUGAGGAGGCAGAGACAGGAGAUGCCUCUAGCCCGGGACACCCGUGUCAAUAAAAAGAAUCUCUGGAAAGAUUUGUCACAUAGUAAUCACCCUCUAAAGUCAUUGGUUUUUUUUCCCCUCCACCAAGUAGUGGGUUGGGAUUUGCACUCUAUUAGUAAAUGAAUUUAGAGUAGUUGUUGAAUUUCAGCAGUUGCCUGAAGUAGGAGUGGUUUGUCAAGAUUUUUUGGUGUUGAGAAUAAAAUUGGACACUAAUUGAGAAAAAAAA